UGAGGAACAUGACCUUCGGCGGGGGAUAGCCGGCCCAACGGCCGGGUAAUACCGCGUACGACCUUUCGGGGACAUCCCUGGAUGGUGAAAGCAGCAAUGCGCCGAUGGAGUGCCUCGCGGCCUAUCAGCUAGUUGGUGAGGUAACGGCUCACCAAGGCGACGACGGGUAGCUGG
rnacentral:rRNA from 1 species